GAAAAUAUAAGUUAGAUAAGGUUUAGGCAGGAAAAUUGGAUUAGGAUUAAUAUAAUUAGGAAGAAUAAAUAAUAUAUAUAAUUAUAAUUUUAGGUUAAAACUGUUGAGGAAUAAGAUAAUAAUUUUAUAAAUAACUGGGUCUACUGUAUGUAAUAAAUAAGGUACAGAUAUAGGAAAAGGAAUACUAAGUGAUGAUAAAGAACUAUAAAGAAGUGAAUGAUCAAAAAGGGGACAUGAAAGAAUAAUGUGAUUUAAAUCGCCAAUGUCCGCACCGCACUCACACUUACUGCUAUCCAGCACUCCGAUCGUCGCUAGAUGUGCCGGACUACACGUGUGGCCUAAUCUCAUCCGUAUCAAACUGGAAGUCUCGUGGCGUUUAAAAUUAUAUUUGUAGAACCAUGGUUUGGAAGGAAUGGUUUCUACAGUCUAAGAGAAUAGGGUAAAUCGGUUGAGAUUUAAAAGGAAAUUUUGCAAGAGCCUGUAAAGAACUCUUUGAAUCGGGAUUUGAAAACGAAUUUAUCAGAUAAAUAUUGACGUCUCAAAUGAAGAGGAGGAUCAACACAUUCUACCUGUAAUGCUGUAACAGGACUAGAUUUCAUGGCUCCAGUGAUAAUUCUGAGUGACUUAGACUGUAUAGUGUCUAGUUUUUUGAAAGCAUUCACAUCCCCUGGUUGAAGUAAAAAAGUACCAUAAUCUAAAACUGAUCUUACUAUGGCAUUAUAUAAAAGUUUUAAAUUGAAUGGGUGGGCACCCCACCAUACACCGGCAAGAGAACAUGAGAGAGCUAUGGGUCUGUAUGACAAUACAUCUGAUGAAGAUUUACCCGGUUUGAGAAUGGGUAAAAUAAUUUGUUUUUUCCAUGACUCUGGGAUAACACAUGUAAUGAACAUAGAAUUUAUAAGGUUGAGGUAAUAUGUGAGACUAGAAUCACUCAAAUGGACAAAGAAAGAAUAAGGAAUCUUAUCAUCACCUGGAGCAGAGUCCUUAAGAUUCGAGAUUACCCCCUUCAGUUCAUUAAAUGAAAAAGGUAAAUCAAAAUCUGAAACUGGAUCUGAACAUGAGAAAGGAAGGACAGACGGGAUAAGAACUAAACAUUCUUCUGGAACAUAAGGGGGAGCUAAUUUAUCAAGAAACUUGUCAGCCAGAUCAUAAGGACAAAGACGGCACCAGAGAUGGGGAGGAAAUAGAUAUAUCAGGAGCACUAACAAUUUGAUCAGGACCAGUUCUACGAGUUGGACUUCCAGAAUUUAAAAUACACAAAUUCUGUUCAUUAACAAAAUCAAGAAUUAUAUCUCCAAAUUCAUUAGAUAUUGAGCUUCCCCAUGUUUGAUGCCACAGGAGAUUCGGAAUUUUCAUUAAAUUUUAAAGCACAGCCAUUAGAAGGAGAUGGAGCAUCGUAAUCUCUUGUAAGAUUUCUAUGGGCCCUUUGAUCAAAACCUUUAUCACCUUUAAAGGGAGAUCGAGGUUUCAUAAAAACUGUUUUUUUAUAUGACGAUGGACUUUUACUGGCAAUUACUGGGCUGGGGGCAGUAGAUUCAUGAAACGUUGAAUGAUUCUUACGAUCCGAUGGAAUUGAAGAAAGAACAUCAGCAUACGAUUUAUACACUGGAGGAUGAAGUUUACAUGCUUCCAAGUAUGACACACAACUGUUCGCCAUUGUCUGCUUUAUGGCCCUUUGUCUUUCAAAUUCUGGACAUUUCUUAUUUAUAGCAAAGUGUAAGCCGUUACAAAGACAACAGGAAACAUUUUCCUCCUCUACAUUACAAGAAUCUCCUGUAUGAUCUUGACCACAUUUAAAACAACGCGGUUUCGAUCUACACUGAGCUCUAACAUGACCGAAUCUACAGCAAUUAAAACAUUGAACUGUAGGAUAAAUGUAUAAAUCAACUGGUAAUGAUGUAAAACACAUAUAUACUCUUUUAGGUAAAACCUGUCCAUCAAAUGUUAUUACCACGGAUUCUGUGUCAAUAAAAGUUUUAUUAUCAUUUA